CGUGCGGUUCUAUUUUGUUGGUUUCUAGGACCGCCGUAAUGAUUAAUAGGGACAGUCGGGGGCAUCAGUAUUCAAUUGUCAGAGGUGAAAUUCUUAGAUUUAUUGAAGACUAACUACUGCGAAAGCAUUUGCCAAGGAUGUUUUCAUUAAUCAGGAACGAAAGUUAGGGGAUCGAAGACGAUCAGAUACCGUCGUAGUCUUAACCAUAAACUAUGCCGACUAGAGAUCGGACGGUGUUAUUUUUUGACCCGUUCGGCAUCUUACGAGAAAUCAAAGUGCUUGGGCUCCAGGGGGAGUAUGGUCGCAAGGCUGAAACUUAAAGAAAUUGACGGAAGGGCACCACCAGGGGUGGAGCCUGCGGCUUAAUUUGACUCAACACGGGGAAACUCA
rnacentral:rRNA from 1 species